AACCUUAUGGACCUGCGGGCGUAUACCUGCGGAAGGAUCAUUACUGUGAUCUACUACUACACUGCGUGAGCGGAACGAAAACAACAACACCUAAAAUGUGGAAUAUAGCAUAUAGUCGACAAGAGAAAUCUACGAAAAAACAAACAAAACUUUUAACAAUGGAUCU
rnacentral:misc_RNA from 1 species